UGAAGGCAAUCAUGUCGAGGAUAUUGUCAUGACAUCUGCCAUGAAAAAGCCAGCCUCAAAAAGUGGAACAAUUGCCGAGCUUAAGGAGACUUGCAAAGAGCUGGGUGAAGGGAUAAGGAUAGCAACAGCUAGGAAACAAUCGUUGGAAGCCUUGAUUGCAAGUUUGGAGCAGGCUGAAGGUGAAAAUAUUGAACAUGCUAAGGAAGCUGAAGCCCACACCUCUAGUGAGAGGUCUGCAAACA
rnacentral:lncRNA from 1 species